GUCUCUCCUGGAGGUCCCCCACGCCCUUCACCACUCCUGUCCAUGGGAAGCACAGGAAGUGGACAAAGAGGCCCUACCUGGAGGGAGCUGCAUUUGGCCUUGGUGGGGCCUGAGCUCUGGACCCAGAAUAUAAAGAAUCUUUAUCUUUCAGCCACCUCAUCCUGACAGUGACAGGAGAACUGCCAGUCAGGGGAGGCAAAAAGGGACAGAGUGAGAGAGAAGCGAGAAGGCAGAAUGCAAAGGGAGAGAUCUGGUGACAAUGUCCUGGCAUCCUGGCACUCCAACAUGGCACGGUCUUGUUAUAUGAACAGGUUUCUGUCACAGCAGCACAAAACAGUCCAAGACAACAAAGUGCCUUGCAUGCCACAGUGAGGAAUUUGGGCCUUUUCUUGGGAUGCUGAGGAGCCUGUGGUUAGGUGGUGGACCACCUCAUCAAGUUUACAUUUUCAUAGAUCUAAGGGGAGAAGUUCAUCUCUUCUCUGCUGGUCCCAACCACAAGAACUUCUCAUUACCAAGUUACCCCUUAGGUGGAGGAAGCUGGUCUGCAGUAAGAAAUAAUAAAAUCAACAACGCAUGCAAGAGAAACUGUAAUACAUAGUGGGAAAAGGCAUGUGAGUCCUGGAAAUGUUCACGCCCUGACCCCUGACCCCUGAUCCAGCCUGCAGACCCAGCAGAAGCCCUCCCAGGUCACAGGAGGCUCCUUACUCAUCCUUCACAGACAUUCUCCUUUCUGCCUGAGCAGAUUUGAGCUGGGUUUCUCUCACUUGCAAUGAAACAAUUUCUAAUCAAAACAGCAAUCAUCC
ensembl:lincRNA